UACGGGGGGGGCAAGCGUUGUUCGGAAUUACUGGGCGUAAAGGGCUCGUAGGUGGCCAACUAAGUCAGACGUGAAAUCCCUCGGCUUAACCGGGGAAUGGCGUCUGAUACUGGAUGGCUUGAGUUCGGGAGAGGGAUGCGGAAUUCCAGGUGUAGCGGUGAAAUGCGUAGAUAUUGGGAAGAACACCUGAGGCGAAGGCGGCAUCCUGGACCGGCAUUGACGCUGAGGCGCGAAAGCCAGGGGAGCAAACGGGG
rnacentral:rRNA from 1 species